GAUGAACGCUAGCGGCAGGCUUAAUACAUGCAAGUCGAGGGGCAGCAUGAUUGUAGCAAUACAAUUGAUGGCGACCGGCAAACGGGUGCGGAACACGUACACAACCUUCCAACAAGUGGGGGAUAGCCCAGAGAAAUUUGGAUUAAUACCCCGUAACAUAGCGAUGUGGCAUCACAUUGCUAUUAUAGAUUUUUCGCUUGUUGAUGGGUGUGCGGCUGAUUAGAUAGUUGGCGGGGUAACGGCCCACCAAGUCUACGAUCAGUAGCUGAUGUGAGAGAAUGAUCAGCCACACGGGCACUGAGACACGGGCCCGACUCCUACGGGAGGCAGCAGUAAGGAAUAUUGGACAAUGGACGCAAGUCUGAUCCAGCCAUGCUGCGUGAAGGAUUAAGGUCCUCUGGAUUGUAAACCUCUUUUAUAAGGGACGAAAAAAGGCUUUUCUAAGUCGUCUGACGGUACCUUAUGAAUAAGCACCGGCUAACUCCGUGCCAGCCGCCGCCGUAAUAC
rnacentral:rRNA from 1 species